GGCCUGAUGGUCUAGUAGUAUGAUUCCUUGUUAGGGUGCAAAAGCUUUCUAUCGAGGAGGUCCCGGGUUCAAUUCCCGGUCAGGCCC